AUUGAACACUGGCGGCAGGCCUAACACAUGCAAGUCGAACGAGUGGCGGACGGGUGAGUAAUGUCUGGGAAACUGCCCGAUGGAGGGGGAUAACUACUGGAAACGGUAGCUAAUACCGCAUAACAUUGGAGGAGUCCAGAUGGGCUUAGCUAGUAGGUGGGGUAACGGCUCACCUGGGCGACGAUCCCUCGCUGGUCUGAGAGGAAGACCGGCCACACUGGAAUGGAGGCCCGAUACAGACUCCUACGGGAGGCAGCAGAGGGGAAUAUUUCACAAUGGGCGCAAGCCUGAUGCAGCCAUGCCGCGUGGAUGAAGAAGGCCUUCGGGUUGUAAAGUACUUUCAGCGGGGAGGCGUUACUCUCAGAAGAAACACCGACUAACUCCGUGCCAGCAGCCGCGGUAAUUC
rnacentral:rRNA from 1 species